CCUGGCGACGAGUGGCGAACGGGUGAGUAAUGUAUCGGAACGUGCCCAGUUGUGGGGGAUAACUGCUCGAAAGAGCAGCUAAUACCGCAUACGACCUGAGGGUGAAAGCGGGGGAUCGCAAGACCUCGCGCAAUUGGAGCGGCCGAUAUCAGAUUAGGUAGUUGGUGGGGUAAAGGCCUACCAAGCCGACGAUCUGUAGCUGGUCUGAGAGGACGACCAGCCACACUGGGACUGAGACACGGCCCAG
rnacentral:rRNA from 1 species